CACUAAUUUUGUGAAGAAAAGAAAAAUUAAAACUCCAUCCUGGACACUAUGAAGGGCAAUGCUGCACAAAAGGUAAAAGUCCUACCACCCUCCAAUCAUUAAUUUUCUUUAUUUUUCACACUUAACAAACUUCAAAAACUCAAACCUUUGACCACCUCCAUUUUGGGCAAUUCAUGUGCCUAGCGGUCCCCAGCUAACCUAAGAUGCCAAAGUUUG
rnacentral:lncRNA from 1 species